rnacentral:rRNA from 1 species
GUGCUCCGCAUUGGUACCUCUAUCUCGGUGGGGUCCGGCCUCUCGAUGCUCUUCUGGUUUGAUCGCUGGGCCGGCGACUCUCCCUUCGCGGCCCGCUUCCCCACCCUCUUCUCUAUCGUUGUCGACCCCAUGAUCUCUGUUGAUAGGGCCCUUCUUGACUUACGGCGCCUCGCUUUCCGUCGGCCAUUUGGGCCGGCGGAAUCCGCCGCCUGGCGUGAGUUGCUUGACUGCGUUGCUCUGCAUGAGCCGGUGGUGGAUGGGGAUCAGGAUCUUGUGCGCUGGCACCUGGAGCCGUCGGGCCAGUUCUCUACCAAAUCGCUAUACUUGGCCAUUGCCCCCUCCUCCGCUCCCCUUCCCCUAUCGAUGGUGUGGUCCGUCCGCGUCCCCCUGAAGAUUCGCAUCUUCAUGUGGCAGUGGAUCCGUGGACGGAUCCCGUCCGGUGUGGAGGUCCGCAAGCGUAAUGGCUCGGGCACUGGUAUCUGCCCCCUCUGUGCUGUUCCCGAGGACUCCAACCACAUCUUCUUCGCCUGCGUCUCCGCCCGGUUCCUCUGGAGCUGCUUUCGUGAGAUUGUCGGUGGGAGUUGGUGCCACACCAAUUUCCCGGACUUAUUUGCUGAACUCCAAUUGUCCCCUUCGUCCUCUCGCCACAUUAGGUGGCUCGAGGUUGGGGUCCUUUCCUGGACGCUUUGGACCGUUCGCAAUAAGCUAGUGAUCCAGCGUACUCCUCUUCGUCGCGCUACUGAUGCUCUCUACAAAUUCUCGGGUUUCUUGCAGCUUUGGCGGCCGCUUAGCCGCCCCCUGGAUCGGGACGCCAUCUCUGCCUUCAUCGCCGAUCUCCGCUCGAUGGCCGUCCGCCUGUCGCCCCCGCCGCCGCCGCCUCCGCCGGAGCCUGACUAG